GCCCAGACUCUUAGAGUGCAGAGUCCUUUGGCCUCAACACUGCUGUGUUUGAGAGACGAGGGCACUUCGGAUCCCCCUACUUCUUGGCCAUGUUGGAUUCCAACUUUCUCAAAUCUCUUUGAAGGAAGGUAUUUCUAGUUAUGGAGCCAUGAAGAGAUUGGGCAUUGGAGACCAACCAAAGGCAGAUAACAAAUUGAAGAGCCUUUAUUCUUGGAAAGCUGCUAGAACUUCAGCUUCUUGCUCUGAUGUGUCGGCAUGCUGUUGGAGUCCAAGGUCAUGAUGAGUGACCACAAGAGAGGAGACAGUGGGUGCUUCGAAGAGGUGACAAUUCCUCCACCAGAUUUGCAACAAUUUAGGGAAGUCUGAGGCUUAAAACCCCCACAGUACCUGCACUUUAGUGAAGUUAUAGAGAUUACGUAAAUAAUCUGCAUUGUUCUGUUUUUUUUUUUUAAUGUUUUAAAAUUUGUUUGAGAGAGAGAGAGAGUGUGAGUGAGUGGGGCAGAGAGAGGGAGACGCAGAAUCCGAAGCAGGCUCCAGGCUCUGAGCUGUCAGCACAGAGCCUGACACAAGGCUUGAACUCACACACUGAGAGAUUAUAACCUGAGCUGAAGUCUGACGCUUAACUGACUGAGCCCCUUCUGCAUUGUUCUUUGUAGCAGUGCUUAAGCACUUUUCUCAGUGAGCUAAAAUGGGCCUGCCUACACUCACUGAUCCAUAUGCCUCUUGACAUGUUAGCCAUUUUCCGUGUCCUAACCCACUUUAACUGGAUGAGAUUUAUGUUGGCUAUGCCAUUUUUGAACAUCUUUUUGUAUUGAAAUAAUGAAAUAAAAAUCAGUCCUACUAUCUUGUUAGCA
rnacentral:lncRNA from 1 species